UAAGGGCUGAGACCCUGGCUGCCGGAGGAUAGGAGGGUGGCCGAGGGAAACAGAGGGGGGUCAGCGGGUGGUUCCCGGAUGGUCCAGGAGGCGGAGACACUAGGGAGUCCCCGUAGGCGGUGCCUCGGCGGCGGGCGCUAUUUACCUGCAGUCUUGGAGCAGGUAAAAAGAACUUAAGCCCAGAAAGCGAAAACCAGAGCCGGAGGACCUCUAUUUCCUUCUUUUCUUUCCCGGAGCUUCGAGAGUCCUCGCCUCAUCGGCCUCCAACCUAUCAGCGCCCACCCACCUAGCGUCCCCUGCUCAGCCGAGAAGCCAGCGCACGCAUUAACCUCUCAGUGACCACUCGGAGCAAGGCGAGGAGCCAAGCGUCUAAGAUUCUGGUCUUCCAAGUAUACCUGGGCCUCCCUCACCUGGGUCCAGCUUCAGCUCCAUCGCCUACUGCCCACCCUGUCCCCCCACUCCAGCAACCCCAAGCCCCCGCCCGCGUCCUGUAGCUCCGCUGGGGCAGGGAGGAACUCUCCUGACUCCAGAGUUGACUCGGGCCACUGGAGAGUCAAGUUCCUCAAUCUCGACCCUGCCCAGCGUGGGAAGCCAGACCAGAGUGGAAGCCUGACUUCACACCGAGGCCCACAGCCCCCGCCCCAAGAGGUCUUCUACUUUGCUGUCCUUUCAGCUUGGCUAUUGCGCUACCACUACACAUCAUUCCCGCAGCUGGCAGAACUAGCACCUGGAGCCAGGAAACACCAAGGUUGCCCUCCGCAGUGCACUCAGACUGACCCCGGGUCACUGGAGUACGUCCGGAGCCGGAGCCCUGUAGUCUCUGCACUUCUUCCCAGCUGUGUGGCCUACAAGCCUUGCGCAGAGUCGUGGGCGCAGCUCCGAGUUCUCUAGUAGUUUUACUCCCCACCCCACCCCUCCAUUCCUCCCAGGGAACAUCGCUCUCGACCCGGCACACUGCAAAAGGGUAGAAACACAGUGGGGUCCCUGCCACAGAGCCCGAUGGGCAGGUUGGGGGCGGGGAAGCAGGCCUGGCUGGGGCGGAGCGCUUAAGCCUUGAGGGGCGCUGCUGUGGUGGAUGCGGAGAAGGGGCCACGUGCAGGGAGCGGCGGCCCGAGAGCUGCACAGAAGGCGGGGAGAUUUGCAAACUGUUGCUGCCACAUGGCUGCUCCAUUCGAUCCAUUCACAUUGAAAUGAGGCCGGCGCGUGCCUCAUCUGCCGCAGGGCGCUGCCACGCGUCAGCCCGACCCGCCGCGUGCCAACUGGGGCAGUGGGGCUGGCAAAGUCUGCCAGCCGUGGGGGCUCAGCCCAGGCCCUACAGCCAGGAGGGGGUAGGGGAAGGGCGUCGAGCUACCCUAGCCACUCAGGCGCCACUGUUUCUCGGACCUUGGCCCUGCAAUUGCGAUUGAGCCGGCAGAAAGGACCAGGACGGACGGUUUCAAAAGGGGGCCAGGAUCGAUGCCGCCGCUCCCCGCAGAUGCGCCCCGGCAGCGCUACUCUCCAUCUGCUGCUGCUCGCACCUGCCGGUCAAUAAAUCGAUUUUACAAUUUAAUGCAGCAGCUUCCCGCCCGCCUGGGACAGAUGCCGCCGCAGAACCACCUCCGCCUUCGCCCCUCCCCUCGAGGGGCGCCAGCGGUUAAGGACUGGAUUCCCGCUCAGCUGGCGGCGCCCUGCGGGGCCUAGGGCACCUCUCCUGGGAGCCCCUACAAGGAACUGCCCGCUCCGGGUUUUUCCCGCGGACAGAGUGGGUUCCCCAUAGGUCAGGCCUGAAGCUGGCCAAGGAGACCAAAUGAUGACUUAGCCAUGGCCUCGCUUGGGAAGGGGGGGCGGUUCAAGGAAGGAACAGGAUACAGUGACUGAAGAUAAAAUGUGAGGGCCCCUGUGAGAAGGAAGGGGAGGGGCUUGGGCACUGAGGGACACUGAGUUCUGAAGAAUUUCAAGGGGGCUGAGC